ACACGACUACAUUAGAUACCCGCGUAGUCCUAGCCGUAAACGAUACUCGCUAGGUGUCGGCCACGGUGCGACCGUUGUCGGUGCCGUAGGGAAGCCGUGAAACGUGCCGCCUGGGAAGUACGGUCGCAAGGCUGAAACUUAAAGGAAUUGCGGGGGAGCACCACAACGGGUGGAGCCUGCGGUUUAAUUGGACUCAACGCCGGGAAGCUCACCGGAUAAGACAGCGGAAUGAUUGCCGGGCUGAAGACCCUGCAUGACCAGCUG
rnacentral:rRNA from 1 species